AGAUUCUUAUUUUUUUUUUCUUCUCAUCAACCGUAUUUGCCAUCUUUUUUGUUCAUGUCAUUGUUUCUCAUUUUAACAGUUUUGCAUCUUACUAUCAUUGCAUUUGUUCCUCAUGCUACUUUUAUGUUACAUAAAAUGAUGGUUGAGUAGCCAUUUGAUUCUUUCAUUAUACAUGGUGUGAAGCCUUGAUUAACCUCUUUUGUUUU
rnacentral:misc_RNA from 1 species